rnacentral:misc_RNA from 1 species
CGCAUAUUGCGCCCUUUGGUAUUCCGAAGGGCAUGCCUAUUCGAGCGUCAUUAGCUAAACUCAAGCCUGGCUUGUCAUUGGACCUUGUCGUUAAAGACAGGUCUCAAAGUUAAUGGCGGUGUCGUUGAGACCCUAGAUGCAGCGAGCUUUUUAGCAUACAUCUUUGCGGUCUCGGCGGCUCUGGCCUUGCAAAAUCCCCCUACGGUUAAGACCUCUUAACUGGAGGGCGGACAUUUCUCGCAGGUUGACCUCGGAUUAGGUAGGAAUACCCGCUGAACUUAA